GGGCCCGCACAAGCGGUGGAGCAUGUGGUUUAAUUCGAAGAUACGCGCAGAACCUUACCAACACUUGACAUGUUCGUCGCGACUUUAAGAGAUUAAAGUUUCGGUUCGGCCGGACGAAACACAGGUGCUGCAUGGCUGUCGUCAGCUCGUGUCGUGAGAUGUUGGGUUAAGUCCCGCAACGAGCGCAACCCUCACUUUUAGUUGCCAUCAUUAAGUUGGGCACUCUGAAAGAACUGCCAGUGAUAAGCUGGAGGAAGGUGGGGAUGACGUCAAGUCCUCAUGGCCCUUACGUGUUGGGCUACACACGUGCUACAAUGGUAUCUACAACAGGAAGCAAAACGGCGACGUUAAGCAAAUCCUUAAAAGAUACCUCAGUUCGGAUUGCACUCUGCAACUCGAGUGCAUGAAGCUGGAAUU
rnacentral:rRNA from 1 species